UUUGCAUGUUUCCUAGAUUUC
rnacentral:piRNA from 1 species